rnacentral:rRNA from 1 species
AGCAGUCGCCGCGGUAAUACGUAGGUGGCAAGCGUUGUCCGGAAUUAUUGGGCGUAAAGGGCUCGCAGGCGGUGUCUUAAGUCUGAUGUGAAAGCCCCCGGCUCAACCGGGGAGGGUCAUUGGAAACUGGGAAACUUGAGUGCAGAAGAGGAGAGUGGAAUUCCACGUGUAGCGGUGAAAUGCGUAGAGAUGUGGAGGAACACCAGUGGCGAAGGCGACUCUCUGGUCUGUAACUGACGCUGAGGAGCGAAAGCGUGGGGAGCGAACAGGAUUAGAUACCCGCGUAGUCCCUGUCUCUUAUAC